AAGGAGUAGGGGCAAUAAGGCUCUUAUUUGGCCCAAAAAUUACUGCAAAUUUAAAAGUUAUCAUAUGUAUUCUUAAAUAACUGGAAGACGUACUACAGUACAAGGUACUCAGAGAAACAAAACAAAUUUGACAUUGAACAAGUUUCCAUGGCAACAAAUCAUGAUUUAUUUUGCAUAUUUUGUAAAAUUUCGUGAUUUUCCUUGUUUUUCAUCAAAUUUUAUGUAUAUUUUAGAUUGAAAAAGUAUGUGCGCACCCAAGAAACAACUUUAUAUUUGGUGGGAUCAUGUCAAUAGUAAUAAUAAAGCUUCUGUUAAAUUAUUUUGUUGUUUCUUGCCUGCGCACGAUGUUUCCAUAAAAGAAAUAAAGAUGGAAAACUGCAUAAAAUCUGUAUUUUUCAUCGUUUUCUUUUAAAAAAUAGUACAUAUUAUAAUGUAAUUGUGAUGUCAUCAGGUAAAAAUCUUUAUGUUUUU
rnacentral:lncRNA from 1 species